UCAGUCGACUCCGUACGGGAGGCAGCAGUGGGGAAUAUUGCACAAUGGGGGAAACCCUGAUGCAGCCAUGCCGCGUGUGUGAAGAAGGCCUUCGGGUUGUAAAGCACUUUCAGUAGGGAGGAAGGUAGUGUAGUUAACACCUGCACUAUUUGACGUUACCUACAGAAGAAGCACCGGCUAACUCCGUGCCAGCAGCCGCGGUAAUACGGAGGGUGCGAGCGUUAAUCGGAAUUACUGGGCGUAAAGCGCAUGCAGGCGGCCUGUUAAGUCAGAUGUGAAAGCCCGGGGCUUAACCUCGGAAUUGCAUUUGAAACUGGCAGGCUAGAGUCUUGUAGAGGGGGGUAGGAAUUUCAGGUGUAGCGGUGAAAUGCGUAGAGAUCUGAAGGAAUACCAGUGGCGAAGGCGGCCCCCUGGACAAAGACUGACGCUCAGAUGCGAAAGCGUGGGGAGCAAACAGGAUUAGAUACCCUGGUAG
rnacentral:rRNA from 1 species